AAGWCGAGCGAACAGAUAAGGAGCUUGCUCCUUUGACGUUAGCGGCGGACGGGUGAGUAACACGUGGAUAACCUACCUAUAAGACUGGGAUAACUUCGGGAAACCGGAGCUAAUACCGGAUAAGAUUUUGAACCGCAUGGUUCAAUAGUGAAAGACGGCCUUGCUGUCACUUAUAGAUGGAUCCGCKCCGUAUUAGCUAGUUGGUAAGGUAACGGCUUACCAAGGCAACGAUACGUAGCCGACCUGAGAGGKUKAUCGGCCACACUGUAACUGAGACACGGUCCAGACUCCUACGGGAGGCAGCAGUAGGGAAUCUUCCGCAAUGGGCGAAAGCUGGACGGAGCAACGCCGCGUGAGUGAUGAAGGUCUUCGGAUCGUAAAACUCUGUUAUCAGGGAAGAACAAACGUGUAAGUAACUGUGCACGUCUUGACGGUACCUGAUCAGAAAGCCACGGCUAACUACGUGCCAGCAGCCGCGGUAAUACGUAGGUGGCAAGCGUUAUCCGGAAUUAUUGGGCGUAAAGCGCGCGUAGGCGGUUUUUUAAGUCUGAUGUGAAAGCCCACGGCUCAACCGUGGAGGGUCAUUGGAAACUGGAAAACUUGAGUGCAGAAGAGGAAAGUGGAAUUCAUGUGUAGCGGUGAAAUGCGCAGAGAUAUGGAGGGACACCAGUGGCGAGGCGACUUUCUGGUCUGUAACUGACGCUGAUGUGCGAAAGGUGGGGGAUCAAACAGG
rnacentral:rRNA from 1 species